rnacentral:rRNA from 1 species
UACGGAGGGUGCAAGCGUUGUCCGGAAUUAUUGGGCGUAAAGAGCUCGUAGGCGGUUUGUUGCGUCGGCUGUGAAAUCCCGAGGCUCAACCUCGGGUCUGCAGUCGAUACGAGCAAACUAGAGUGUUGCAGGGGAGACUGGAAUUCCUGGUGUAGCGGUGAAAUGCGCAGAUAUCAGGAGGAACACCGGUGGCGAAGGCGGGUCUCUGGGCAGCAACUGACGCUGAGGAGCGAAAGCGUGGGGAGCGAACAGG